rnacentral:rRNA from 1 species
CCUACGGGAGGCAGCAGUGAGGAAUAUUGGUCAAUGGGCGCGAGCCUGAACCAGCCAAGUAGCGUGAAGGAUGACUGCCCUACGGGUUGUAAACUUCUUUUAUAAAGGAAUAAAGUGAUGCACGUGUGCCUUUUUGUAUGUACUUUAUGAAUAAGGAUCGGCUAACUCCGUUCCCGCAGCCGCGUUAAUACGGAGGAUCCGAGCGUUAUCCGGCUUUAUUGGGUUAAAAGGGAGCGUAGAUGGGUUUUUAAGUAAGUUGUGAAAGUUUGCGGCCAAACCGUAAAAUUGCAAUUGAUACUGGCAGUCUUGAGUACAGUUGAGGUAGGCGGAAUUCGUGGUGUAGCGGUGAAAUGCUGAUAUCACGAAGAACUCCGAUUGCGAAGGCAGCUUACUAAACUGCCACUGACAUUGAUGCUCGAAAGUGUGGGUAUCAAACAGGAUUAGAUACCCUAGUAGUC